AUCUGAAAUGCUGUGAAAAUAAUGACAUCGAUGUAUGUUUCCCGUUUGAUAUACCUGCUGACGACAAAGAUUUUACCCCUGGAUGCAGAAGUUUUCAAAGGACUGAAAGAUCCCCCGAUAUAACAAAUUAUAGAGAACAGAUCAACGAUGUGACAUCAUACAUUGAUUGCAGCCAUGUAUAUGGUAGUUCUGAUGCACAGUUAGCAACCCUUAGAGAUACUACGGAUUCAUCACUUUUAAAAACUUCUCCUGGAAAUAAUUUACCUGAGAACGUAAAUGGAUCUUGCGUAAAGAUAGACCCAGUAGCUGAUUUUUGCCAAUUAACGGGAGAUUCAAGGACUGACCAGGCACCUAGUCUCCAAUUAAACCAUCUUGUUCUUGUAAGGGAACAUAACAGGAUCGCUAAAUUACUGAAACAAAUCAAUUCAGAAUGGGGAAAUGAUAGAGUUUUCGAAGAAACACGAAGAAUAGUCAUAGCGGAAUUGCAGCACAUAACAUAUAAAGAGUACCUACCUGCCAUUCUAUCUCCACAAACUAUGAAAAAGUACAAGCUUAAACCCCAAAAAAUGGAUUUGAUGACUGUUAUAAUGAUAAAAUUGAUGCCUCUGUAAGGAACGCUUUUGCAGUAGCACCCUUUCGAAUGGGACAUUCCCAAGCGAUGAGGGAGCAGUCAUUGCUUGAAGAUGAUUACAAAACUAUCACUACUGAACUUCUUGCUGACAACUUUAGGGCUCCACAUCUAAUUCAAACAAAUAUGGGCGAAAAUGUUGAAGAUUUCAUACGAUGGUUAACCUUUAAACCAGCUAAUAGAAUUGACAGUUUUGGAGUGAAUGCAAUGCGUAACAAGCUGUUUGGUGGAGAUACAGAUUUAUUGUCCAUUAACAUACAAAGGGGGCGAGAUCAGGGCACACCAAGCUAUAACGACUGGAGGGAAUUUUGUGGACUGGAAAGGCUGAAUUUUAAAAACUUUAAAGUUCCUAACGAUGUUGAAAAUGUCCUCAAAGAAUU